rnacentral:lncRNA from 13 species
UUCCAGGACAGUUGCAGUAGACAUGAGAACAUUUUUUUCUCAACUGGGUGAGUGUGGAGCUCUCAUUCGUUUCCUACGGUGACCACAUAAACAUUGUCACCCAUGCAUUGCCCGAGAAAGUUAAGUAUUUCCCUCCUCCCCUAAGCAGUCCUGUCGACCAAGUGCCACACUGGUACUUCCGUGCGAUGAUCAUUUCUGCCGGCAGGAGGCGAUCUUGCUCGCCACAUUCUACCUUGACGCUCCCUCAGGCCGCCUGAACGUGGCACUCAAGAAAAUAGGGUAAAAGGUGUCUAUGCUGACGAUUCCUUGACAGAGAAACUACUUGCAAACAGCAAGAGAAACGUACUCAAAAGCGAAAGUGCUUUUCCUGGUUUCUGAUCACUGUUUUUAGGAGUAACUGCUGUAGAAAGGAAAGAAACAGAAGGCUGCUUGUUUUUGUCAACUUGUUGCAAAUGUUAAAACUUUAAUUAGCACGUAAGCGGUUUUGUUUCUUUUCUUCAUUGAUGUCAGGUGGCUUUUUCAUCGGAGGCCUUUCAAAUGAGGCAAAGUGGCAAACUCAUCCUUCCUGUGAAAUGAGAGCUGCUGGGAGGUUGCCACCCUCACUGGGUGGCGGUCUUCGGAGGUUAUUUCCUCAUCUCUGAAACCUUCCAGCUUCCUUGCAGCCUCUGACAGACCUGAGUGAACCCAAGAGACUAUACAGGGCUCUUUUCAGCCUUAGCGACUGUUUCGUAUUGGAGCUCAAAGCCCUGACUACAGGUGGUCAAGACCAGUCUGGAUAAUUUUGGCGUUGGAAAGGACAGAGCUCAGAUGGUCCAGUUCCCUCAGUUUGCAGAAGCGGGGGUUGGGAUCAAGACUGGAGGGACCGUGCACAUUGGAAAUUUCCUUGCAAACUGCUUAUGACCAAGACCCCAGAGAGUUCUUAUUUUGGCUGCUGACCGAACUUAGUUCCUGUGAUCUGAAAGCCAAAAGAAUGGUGAGAUUUCAGAAUAUUCUGUUGUUUUCAUGUCCCUUCUCUGCUUAGUAAAGGAGCUUUUCAGUCUCCCAGAGUGAUUCAGUCAUUGAAGAUGUAGAAUUUAGGCCAGGCAUGGUGGCUCAUGCCUGUAAUCCUGGCACUUUGGGAGGCCAAGACGGGCGGAUCACCUGAGGUCAGGAUUUCAAGACCAGCCUGGCCAACAUGGUGAAACCCUGACUCUACUAAAAAUACAAAAAUGAACUGAAUUGUGGUGUCAGGCACCUGUAAUCCCAGCUACUCAUGAGGCUGAGGCAGAAGAAUCACUUGAACCCGGGAGGCAGAGGUUGCAGUGAGCCGAGAUUGCACCA